rnacentral:rRNA from 1 species
GAUGAACGCUGGCGGCGUGCCUAAUACAUGCAAGUCGAGCGAAUGGAUUAAGAGCUUGCUCUUAUGAAGUUAGCGGCGGACGGGUGAGUAACACGUGGGUAACCUGCCCAUAAGACUGGGAUAACUCCGGGAAACCGGGGCUAAUACCGGAUAAUAUUUUGAACUGCAUGGUUCAAAAUUGAAAGGCGGCUUCGGCUGUCACUUAUGGAUGGACCCGCGUCGCAUUAGCUAGUUGGUGAGGUAACGGCUCACCAAGGCAACGAUGCGUAGCCGACCUGAGAGGGUGAUCGGCCACACUGGGACUGAGACACGGCCCAGACUCCUACGGGAGGCAGCAGUAGGGAAUCUUCCGCAAUGGACGAAAGUCUAACGGAGCAACGCCGCGUGAGUGAUGAAGGCUUUCGGGUCGUAAAACUCUGUUGUUAGGGGAGAACAAGUGCUAGUUGAAUAAGCUGGCACCUUGACGGUACCUAACCAGAAAGCCACGGCUAACUACGUGCCAGCCGCCGCGGUAA